rnacentral:rRNA from 1 species
AGUGAACGCUGGCGGUAGGCCUAACACAUGCAAGUCGAACGGCAGCACAGUAAGAGCUUGCUCUUACGGGUGGCGAGUGGCGGACGGGUGAGGAAUACAUCGGAAUCUACUUUUUCGUGGGGGAUAACGUAGGGAAACUUACGCUAAUACCGCAUACGACCUACGGGUGAAAGCAGGGGAUCUUCGGACCUUGCGCGAUUGAAUGAGCCGAUGUCGGAUUAGCUAGUUGGCGGGGUAAAGGCCCACCAAGGCGACGAUCCGUAGCUGGUCUGAGAGGAUGAUCAGCCACACUGGAACUGAGACACGGUCCAGACUCCUACGGGAGGCAGCAGUGGGGAAUAUUGGACAAAGGGCCCAAGCCUGAUCCAGCCAUACCGCGUGGGUGAAGAAGGCCUUCGGGUUGUAAAGCCCUUUUGUUGGGAAAGAAAAGCAGCAGGUUAAUACCCCGCUGUUCUGACGGUACCCAAAGAAUAAGCACCGGCUAACUUCGUG